UACGAAGGGGGCUAGCGUUGCUCGGAAUUACUGGGCGUAAAGCGCGUGUAGGCGGCUUUGCAAGUCGGGUGUGAAAGCCCUCAGCUCAACUGAGGAAGUGCGCCCGAAACUGCAGAGCUUGAGUGCCGGAGAGGGUGGCGGAAUUCCCCAAGUAGAGGUGAAAUUCGUAGAUAUGGGGAGGAACACCGGUGGCGAAGGCGGCCACCUGGACGGUAACUGACGCUGAGACGCGAAAGCGUGGGGAGCAAACAGG
rnacentral:rRNA from 1 species